UGGCUCUUGCAUCGAUGAAGAACGCAGCGAAAUGCGAUACGUAAUGUGAAUUGCAGAUCCGUGACUCAUCGAAAUUUUGAACGCACAUUGCACCUAGCGGCAUUCCGCUAGGUAUGCUUGUUUGAGGGUCUGUUUAUUUUCUCUCGACCGACGGUGAAAAUCGUCGUCGGGGGGACAUGGCGUUGUGGGAUAAUAUUCUACUUGGCUUUAAAUCAGACCGUUGUCAUCAUCAUCAGCGGCGAGGGGUGCUAGACAUAUCCAUAUCAGCCAACUUGUUGGUUUACCUUGGGUAAGAUCUACACUCUGGACGCAAGGGGGGUGAUUAAACGGAAAUAAAACCUAGUUUUAUUUUAAAAAAGGACCUCAAAUCAAGCAAGGCUACCCGCUGA
rnacentral:misc_RNA from 1 species